ACGGGAGGCAGCAGUCGGGAAUAUUGCGCAAUGGAGGAAACUCUGACGCAGUGACGCCGCGUAUGGGAAGAAGGUUUUCGGAUUGUAAACCAUUUUAGACAGGGAAGAAACAAGACAGUACCUGUAGAAUAAGCUCCGGCUAACUACGUGCCAGCAGCCGCGGUAAUACGUAGGGAGCAAGCGUUAUCCGGAUUUAUUGGGUGUAAAGGGUGCGUAGACGGGAAUGCAAGUUGGUUGUGAAAUCCCUCGGCUUAACUGAGGAACUGCAACCAAAACUGUAUUUCUUGAGUGCUGGAGAGGAAAGUGGAAUUCCUAGUGUAGCGGUGAAAUGCGUAGAUAUUAGGAGGAACACCAGUGGCGAAGGCGACUUUCUGGACAGUAACUGACGUUGAGGCACGAAAGUGUGGGGAGCAAACAGGAUUAGAUACCCUGGUA
rnacentral:rRNA from 1 species